GACGAACGCUGGCGGCGUGCUUAACACAUGCAAGUCGAACGGAAAGGCCCUGCUUUUGUGGGGUGCUCGAGUGGCGAACGGGUGAGUAACACGUGAGUAACCUGCCCUUGACUUUGGGAUAACUUCAGGAAACUGGGGCUAAUACCGGAUAGGGGCUCCUGCUGCAUGGUGGGGGUUGGAAAGUUUCGGCGGUUGGGGAUGGACUCGCGGCUUAUCAGCUUGUUGGUGGGGUAGUGGCUUACCAAGGCUUUGACGGGUAGCCGGCCUGAGAGGGUGACCGGCCACAUUGGGACUGAGAUACGGCCCAGACUCCUACGGGAGGCAGCAGUGGGGAAUAUUGCACAGUGGGCGGAAGCCUGAUGCAGCAACGCCGCGUGCGGGAUGACGGCCUUCGGGUUGUAAACCGCUUUCGCCUGUGACGAAGCGUGAGUGACGGUAAUGGGUAAAGAAGCACCGGCUAACUACGUGCCAGCAGCCGCGGUGAUACGUAGGGUGCGAGCGUUGUCCGGAUUUAUUGGGCGUAAAGGGCUCGUAGGUGGUUGAUCGCGUCGGAAGUGUAAUCUUGGGGCUUAACCCUGAGCGUGCUUUCGAUACGGGUUGACUUGAGGAAGGUAGGGGAGAAUGGAAUUCCUGGUGGAGCGGUGGAAUGCGCAGAUAUCAGGAGGAACACCAGUGGCGAAGGCGGUUCUCUGGGCCUUUCCUGACGCUGAGGAGCGAAAGCGUGGGGAGCGAACAGGCUUAGAUACCCUGGUAGUCCACGCUGUAAACGGUGGGUACUAGGUGUGGGGUCCAUUCCACGGGUUCCGUGCCGUAGCUAACGCUUUAAGUACCCCGCCUGGGGAGUACGGCCGCAAGGCUAAAACUCAAAGGAAUUGACGGGGCCCCGCACAAGCGGCGGAGCAUGCGGAUUAAUUCGAUGCAACGCGUAGAACCUUACCUGGGUUUGACAUGGAUCGGGAGUGCUCAGAGAUGGGUGUGCCUCUUUUGGGGUCGGUUCACAGGUGGUGCAUGGCUGUCGUCAGCUCGUGUCGUGAGAUGUUGGGUUAAGUCCCGCAACGAGCGCAACCCUUGUUCACUGUUGCCAGCACGUUAUGGUGGGGACUCAGUGGAGACCGCCGGGGUCAACUCGGAGGAAGGUGGGGAUGACGUCAAGUCAUCAUGCCCCUUAUGUCCAGGGCUUCACGCAUGCUACAAUGGCUGGUACAGAGAGUGGCGAGCCUGUGAGGGUGAGCGAAUCUCGGAAAGCCGGUCUCAGUUCGGAUUGGGGUCUGCAACUCGACCUCAUGAAGUCGGAGUCGCUAGUAAUCGCAGAUCAGCAACGCUGCGGUGAAUACGUUCCCGGG
rnacentral:rRNA from 1 species